UUUCAUCCUGGGAGGAGUCACUCCUUCCGCAGCCAUCAGCGCCUGACACCCCGUCUCCCCAGAAGUGCUUCUGAGGCUCUGACCUUGCCCGACCCACCCAAAGGGGCAAUGAACCUCUCUGCAUGCAAGCCAGAGCAGGUCUAGAUGCAGCUAGAUGCAGCUUCACUCUUGAAGCCAGCCAGACCACCAACCCACUGGGAGGAAUGAACAACUCCAGACACACCGCCUUUAUGAGCUGUAACAGUCACUGCGAAGGCCUGCAGCUUCACUCCUGACACCAGUGGGACCACGAACCCACCAGAAGGAACCCAUUCUGGACACAUAAGGAGCAGUGAGGACACCAAAGAUUGUGACAUUUGUCCAGCUGUAAAACAGGAUGUUAAUCUCUUCUUGAUGGGAACCCCUGAUGAAUAUGUUGAAUAUGUGUCACAAUUCAAAAAGCUCUCAGUAAUAUUGUCCAAUGCUAGGAAGCUGAAGAACUGUGUUGAUAAGAAAUUGACAGAUGAGGACAAGCAGCAUGUGCUCAGCGGGCUGGAUAAAAUAUACUCAAGCAAGUUGUGUUAGCAGAGCCAUCCUUGAUAGAGGACCCAAGAAAGCCACUUGCCUGAUCACUAAGCCAUCUCAGCAACCUGCCAUGUCCAGGGCUCUGACUAGAGGAUUCCAGCAAUAAAAGCCUUGCAGUUCAUGAGAGAGUCUUGCUUCUUGGGCUGGAGACUGGACUUUCCUAGAGGGCAUGGGGAAAACCCCAGUGGGACAACUGGGAGACUCCCGAUUUGGGCUGGAUUUGAAUGCUGUUGGAUGUUCCUCCACUGAAUUCAGUAGGCAGUGGGGUUGCGGGAGGGGUGACAAGCCCAGCAGCCAGCGUGUCUGUUCAUUUCCAUGAGGCAGGAGCCACAGAUCACAUGCAUAGUCUGGUCAUUUCCAUGAGCCAGGAGCCACAGGUCAUAUGCAGAGUCUCACAAAUUUUCACCUCCCAGCACCCUUGAAAAGUGGGAGUAAUUGUUGUAGUCUUACAGGUGAAGAAACUGAGACUCAGAGAGGUGAGGUGUCUGCUGAAGACCACACAGCUCCUGGGCAGGAGAACGUGCUCCCACUACCCACUGCUGGGGAGACAGGCUUGGCUAACUCACUGUGUUAGUCUUGGUUUGGCUAACUCACUGUGUUAGGCUUGGAUAACUCAUUGUGUGGCCAUGUGUAUAUCACAGACCUUCUCUGGGCCUAUGAUUCCCACCUGUGAAAUGGAACGGACAGCUCCCAUCUCCAGGGCUGUGUUGAGGCCAAAGUAACAUAACGGGUGAGAAGGGAUCCCUGUCUCAAGCGCCUGACACGAGAGAAAGAACAAAGGGGCAGCAUACAAUUGCAGAACCCAGCUAGGACCAAGAAAUCACCUCUCAUCCCUCAGUUUAUCCUAAUGCCAGCCACCCACUGUGGCCUCAGUUGCCUCCAUAUAAAGAAAGUACAAGAAACUCCAGGCUCAGCCAAAAGAGAGAGAAGAAGCAGCUAGACCUUGGAGACUACAGUGGAUAUUGGAGAGAAAUAGUUUGACUUCAGAGGGACAACUUGGUGGCGUAGCUUCAGAGAGGAGUCUGAUUGAGGAUGGUUGGACUUCAGGAGAAUAUUACCUUCCCACUCCAUCCCCUUUUCAGCUCCCCUUCCUGAUGAGAAUCACUUUCAUCAGCAAUAAAAUGCCCUGCGUUUACCAUCUUUAAUUUAUUCGUGUGACCUCAUUCUUCCUGGAUGCCAGACAAGAACUCAGGUGCCAUGAGCGCGGAUGCAAAAGACUAUCACAUUGACCCUCCACUGAGCUGAUAACAUUUAAGCUGUCUGCAGAGAGCAAAGCUAAAAAAGAAUGUAGAACUCCUUCUGGGGCUUCAAGGGUCAUGAGCACCUUCUCCCAGACACUGCCAUGGGGCUCACAUAAAGUUUUGCCCUUGCCAGCGCACAAAAGUGCUUGCCCUGCCUCCUGCACCCACUCACUUGCACUCCUCUUCCCGGAAGGGGUGGAACACAGUGAGACCGAGUGAGUGGAGUCUGCCCCUGCUGGCACCAAAACAGCUGGCUAGUGCCAGCACCCAUGCACUCCAGUUCCCACCUGCAAAGAGGUCAAGGAAAUAUUCUGCUUCACUUGGGGGCUCACUCGGGAUACAUCAGAAGGGUGAGUAAAUGCAGAUCUACCAGAUCUGUCUCUUCUUGUCCUCAGACUUUCCUCUGAGCUAUGCCACUUGCAGGAGAUAAGACGCAACCCCGUCAUCUGUCUCUUUCUUUUGGGUAAAAGGAAUGUUGGUUCUGUUUCUCUUCAUGAAGGUCUAGCCAUCACAUGGGACUAGAAUGAAGUCCUGGGGCAACUGAAGACAUUUGUCUGAAGCCACUCCUCAGUGUUGCCAGAAGACCACAAGACUGGACCCAGUCCCCAGUGGCCAGUCAGGGUGUCAGCCAAGACCCCCAAACUUUUCUGUGGUAUCUUUCUCCUUUUACUGUUUGAAAUGGCUCCUAUCACUUUUUUUGUAUUGUUAAGGGUUUUGCUGCAAACUGCAGAAAUGUUACUAAGUAAAAUAAGCGGAUAAUACUCUGAGUAUUACCUCAGAUAACAAGAAUGCAACACUGUGGUGCAUUGGCCAGGAAAGGAAAUAUCAGAAAAAUGAGUAGGAAGGGACCCCCCAACACUUUACUUUCAUUUUCAAGGCUCUUUAUCCUCUGUUUUUUCUCGUAAGAUCAAAUAAAACACUGGGCCCCUGUCAGCCAGAUAAAAGCUUCUAGAGUGGCUGCCAGCCUUACAAGACUCAGGGGAUAGGCUUGAUGGAGAGGACUUUAUCAAUCCCCCAUCACUCUGGGGUGCUGGGAAUAUUGGCUCUGUUCCAACCUAGUUCCCUUUCACAGAAGAUCUAGCCAUCGUGUGAGGCUGGAAAGAGGUCCUGGGACAAUUGAAGGCAUCUGGCCAAGGUUACACCUUGGUGUUAACUGAAGGCUCCUGGACUAACUCUAGUCCCCAACAGCUCACCAGGACUUUCAGACUUUCCUAUAAUAUUUUCUUUCGUUCUUUUACUUUUUGCAGCUCUCAUGUCUCCUAUCCGUUCUUUGUAUGCUAUGCUGAGGGAGUUUUUACAGCCUGGGGAGAUAACCUUGUUGGGUAAAGUUAGCAAGUACCUUAGUAACCAGGAACGUAACUCAAAGAAUUGAUGCUUCUGUUAUUUUCUUGAGAUGGGGGGAUUUCAAGAUUUCAACUAAACUAAACUAAACCGAACUAAACUUUCAUCUAGUAAGGGCUUUUUUGUUCCCCAAUGAUAGUCAUUCAUGGCACUCUAUAGGAGGAUAUUUCACCCUGAGUGAAUACCCUCCUCUCCAUUUGGGUUGUUUUUUCCUCCACAUAAAAGCUCAGCACUGCCCAGUGAAUUUAAACAGUUCUUCCAUGAGACAAAUUAAUUGUACUUUUGCUAGGAGGCAUAUUGUGGGGACAGCCCACCAAGCCCCACACCUCUCUGCCUGGAAAGAAUGUGGAGUCACAGUUUUUACCUAACAUCUCAGUUACUGCCACACCACCUAGUGAAACAGGAUUUUUCUCUGUUGGGGGGGGCCCUGUUGACCCAUUUCCCAAAACCUCCAGUUCCCCAACUCCUUUUCCUCCUGCAUCCCUCUAUAAGUGAUCAGACCCCAUGCCCUAUUGGUAGGUAGGAAAACUUCACUUUCAAUAGUCAGGAGGAAGCCGCCCUUGAGAGACAAAUUCUAGGCUCAGUACUGUCCUCAUUGAAGGUAGGACAGCCAUUUAAUCCUUAUAUUUUUUGAGGCACCUGUCCUACAUACAGCUACAUUGGCAUUUAAACAAAAGUGGGCUUUAUGCUUAGAAGUCAAUUGGUUCCAUUCUCUGGGAAAUCAGGGCUUUGCUAGGGCCAUAGUAAGAGAAGCGAGGGAUAGAGUCAGGACACUCCCUCCAUUAAAUGGUCUUACUCAAAUCCAACUACUGCACAGUCCCUCCUGGGCCCCUGGGGUACCAUGGGAGCCUUUUAGGUCGAGUAGAUCUGGGAUACCAAGAGAUAGGCGGAGAGCUAGGGAAUCUCACAGGUAAAUAUGACUACUCCUGCUGACUAGCUCCUCUGGAUCCAUGGGUGGUAAUGCUUGCAUCCAUGGGCAGCACAACUGAUGGCCACCAGGACCCAGAGGAGAUGGGAGGAAAGAGGAGAAAGAGGACACCCUUUCUACUUUUCUCUGUACCCUGGGUCACUCCAAAAGGAGGAAGGGGACUAAGGUGGGCCUUUUCUCCCCUCUCUUUCCAGAUGCUUAACAACCCAUCUUCAAGCCUGUAUCUUCCUCGAGUGCAGCCUGGAUAUUUUAAUCCUCAGACCCGGAGGUUUGCUUUAGGAAAGUCCCAACUUCACUCACGUAUAGAGUAUUUAAACUCUGCUGGAAGAAUGUUGUGUUACUCUUAAAUCAAACUGUAACUGCUGCUGAGAAACAGGUGGCCCUGCAAGCAGCAGAGAAAUUUGGAGAUGAACUUUGUGUCUCAUAUGGUGCCAGGGAAGGGGAAGAGCCUUAUCCAACUGGGAGAAUAACAGUGCCCUUAAAGGACCCUAAAUGUGACCAUAACAAUAGCAUUGGUGAGUAGAGAAGAAAACUCUUUCAAAUAUGUAUACUGGAGGACUUGAAAAGGACUAGCGCCAAACCUAUUAACUACUACAAGCUUUUCAUAAUAGACAAAAAGCUAGAUAAAAAUCCCUCAGCCUUUUUGGAAAGGCUGAGAGAAGCUUUAGUGAAACACACCUUUCUGUCUCUCAUUUCAAUUGAAGGACAGCUAAUCUUAAAAGGACAAGUUUAUUACUCAGGCAGCCCCUAAUAUCCAAAAGAAGUUGCAAAAACAGGCCCUAUCCAAAGAUCUCUCUGAUUUUUCUCACCCUCAAGUUGAAGUUUUGCAGUAUAUAGAUGACAUUCUCCUCUGUGCCCCAACUGAGAAAGUCUCAGGAAGGCACUGAGGCUCUCCUGAAUUUUUUAGCUGAAAGGGGAUAUAGGGUUUCCAAAUUUAAGGCUCAGCUCUGUCAAACUUCAGUAAAGUACCUGAGUCUAGUCCUGUCAGAAGGAACAAGAGCACUAGGUGAGGAAAUGAUUAAGCCCAUUUCCUCUUUCCCCUUCCCAAAAUCCUUAAACAUCUGAGGGGAUUCUUAGGCAUUACUGAAUUUUGCAAACUAGGAAUACCUAGGUACAGUGAGAUAACUCGCCCUUUAUGCCACCUCAUAAAAGAAAUGCAAGCAGCUAAAAUUCAGUCCCUAACCUGGGAACCUGGGGCUCAAAAUGCCUUUAACCAGUUAAAAUAAGCCUUGCUUAAAGUACCAGCCCUUCAUCUUCCCAUAGGAAAGAAAUUCAGUCUCUAUGUAUCAAAAAGGAAGGGCAUGGCCCUGGGAGUUUUAACUCAGGCUCAAGGUCCAGCUCAACAACCAGUAGGUUACCUAAGCAAGGAGCUUGACUUGGUGGCUAAAUUAUAGGCUGCCUGCCUCUGAGCAGUUACAGCGGUUGCUUUACUGGUGCCAGUGGCCACCAAGUUAACCAUGAGUAACAACUUAACUGUCAAUAACCCACAUAAUGCGGCAGAACUGCUGUCCUCUAAGGGAAGUCCUUGGCCAACAGAUAAUCACCUCCUCAAAUAUCAGGCUCUGCUGUUAGAGGCAUCUACAGUCCAGUUAAAAAGCUUCUCCUUGCCUGAACCCAGACACUUUCCUCCCAGAGGAAACUGAAGAACCUGAAUACGGCUUUGAACAGUCAUGCAAACCUAUGCAGCCAAGGAGGACCUCAAAGAAACUCCCCUAGAAAUCCCAGAAGCCAGACAUGCUGGUAAAAGGGUAAAAGUUUUUUUAUAGCCAGACUUUUGGCCUCUCUCUCCCUGUGCAAACCAGUGAAAGGAAUGAAAGGAAUCAUUGUUUAUAUUCCCUGUAAAAUUUUAAUUAAUGAAAAAGGAUAUUCUUAAAGAAUGCUCAGCUUAAUUAAAAGUGGAUAUCCAAGUUAUAGGUAUAUUUAAAAGAGUUUUAUGUUUUUCUCUUCUUGAUCUUGUUUUUCUGGAAAGGUUUUUUUUUUCUGUCAACUAAAUUACUUUUCUCCACUUUGUUUUGCCACUCGAGGCAUGUAUGAAAGGCCCUAGAUAGCUUCUGAUGGCCUGGGACUCCUUGGGAAAAACAGAAAACCAUCAAGGUUUCCAUUUUGGGAGAAAAUCUCUCUUUUCCUCAUGAAACCCCAGGAAUUAGAGGUGAAUAUAACCCACUCAAAAUCUGUUUUUGCCUUUCAGAUAUGCCUGUUUAUUAGGCCCUAGAAACUGUAUGCUUUCCUAGCCCUGUUCUUAAAGAGCUCCACCAUGAGGCCAAUAAUCCAAUUA